AUUGAACGCUGGCGGCAGGCCUAACACAUGCAAGUCGAACGCGUGGCGGACGGGUGAGAAAUGUCUGGGAAACUGCCCGAUGGCGGGGGAUAACUACUGGAAACGGUAGCUAAUACCGCAUAACAUGGGAUGUGCUCAGAAGGGAUUAGCUAGUAGGUGGGGUAACGGCUCACCUAGGCGCCGAACCCUAGCUGGUCUGAGAGGAUGCCCAGCCACACUGGAACUGAGAGACGGUCCAGACUCCUACGGGAGGCAGCAGUGGGGAAUAUUGCACAAUGGGCGCAAGCCUGAUGCAGCCAUGCCGCGUGUAGGAUGAAGGCCUUCGGGUUGUAAAGUACUUUCAGCGAGGAAGCGUUACUCGCAGAAGAAGCCCCGGCUAACUCCGUGCCAGCAGCCGCGGUAAUUC
rnacentral:rRNA from 1 species